rnacentral:lncRNA from 1 species
UUCCAAUUUCUGUCUUGCGUCUCUGUCCACUUCACACUACUCGUCUAUAACUGCCAGUGUUGGAGGAAGCAAGUAAAGGAAUAGGGAAGGCCUUACAAUUUAGAGUAUGAAAAGUAUGACCCCCAAGCUGAUUAUGAGGAUCAUCUCUAUCUCUCAUCAUCCCCACUCUGUUAAGUGACAAAGAAUUUUAGGGGAGUUGUAAUUCAUGGCACCUGAAGGAUCAGAGGAGGAAAAGGAGGAAGAAGGACAUUUGAAUUCACUUACUUCAGAGAGAAAAUGGUUUGAAAACUUCCUAGGCACUAAGAAAGCUUUCAGUGACAUCCUUUACCCUUGGAGGACAUGCUGCCAAACUCUGAAUUCAUGGAACAUUUAUAUGGUUCCAUUAAUUACAAAUUAAUAUGACCUGUACAUGGAGUCAGUCUGGAGCAUCUCAAGGUAU